UAUAUAUAUAUAUAUAUAUAUAUAUAUAUAUAAAUUCCGAAUCGGAGGGGAGGAUCGGAUAGAGAAGGGGAGUUGAGGAGAAAAAUAGAAGCGUGAACCAGUUCGUUCUUUCAUAUAAAUAAUAUUGUAUUAAUAAGGCAUUGCGUCUCUCUAAAGGGCUGGUAGUAGUAUGUUGAAAAGAAAAAAAAAAAAGAAGCAACAACAACAACUACCACUUAGACACUACCAUUACUACUACUACUACUACUACUACAAUAACAACAACAAUAACAAGGAAAACAAAUCGAACACUACCGUCUAUCUAGCCUCUUAUUCUCAAAAUUAGGUGUUAUAUUUAAAAAAAAAAAAAAAAAAAAGACAAAAAAGGAAAAAAAAGAAAAAAUUAAAAAGAAAAAAAAAACAAAAAAAAUAUUAAGAAGAAGAAGGGAAAAGGUUGAUUAAUCGAAAAGGAGUGAAAGAGAUAAGAAAAUUAAAGAUCUCUUUCGGCGAAGGAUUAAAUUAUAUUAAAUUAAAUUAAAUUAAAUUAUAUUAAAUUAAAUUAAAUUAAAUUAAAUUAAAUUAAAUUAAAUUAAAUUAAAUUAAAUUAAAUUAAAUUAGGACAAACAAAAAAGAGAACAUAUAUUUAUAAUUCGUGCUUCCACCGAGGACGGUCAUUUCACAAUUAAUAAUUUCUAUAAGAUCGUUCGUUUGUUCGUUUGUCCUAGUUAUCGAUCUCGAUCUCGAUCAUGACCGUGUACUGUUUUUGUUCUUUUUUCCUUUUCUUUUUUUUUUUCGAAUUUUUUAUUUUCAUUUUUUUUUCUUUCUUUCUUUCUUAAAAAAGUAAGAAAUUUAACGUCUUUCGAUCGUUUUUUAGUCUAACAACCAAAGCAAAGACUGUGCAAUAAGUAUUAGAAGAAGAAAAAAAAUGUUACAUAUACAUACAUAUAUGUAGCACACACACAUAUAUAUAUAUAUAUAUGUAUAUAUAUAUAUAUAUAUAUAUAUAUAUAAGAGAGAGAGAGAGAGAGAGAAAGAGAAAGAGAAAUAUACAGGCGAGCAAGAGAAUCUCGAUGAUUCCGUGAAAUGAACGAAAGGGGGAGGAUGAAAUCAUUAAAUGAUAAAAUAAAAAGUAACGCGUGAAUUCACGAUAGAAUCAUGGAUAUUUUCCUUUUCUUUUUUGUUUCAACGAUUGACGACGUGCUUGCAUCUUUUUCUCUUUCUCAAUAUUCGUACGUAAUAUUUUAUUAUUAAAUUCAUGAAAAACAAGAGAAUCGAUGUCUCUGUAAAAUGUUAUUAAGUUCAAUCGAACAGAUCAAUGAAAUUGUACGCUUUCGUUGUUUUAUUUAUUUUUCUUUUCUUUUUCUUUCUAUCUCUCUUUCUCUCUUUCUCUCUGUCUCUCUCUCUCUCUCUCUCUCUCUCUCUCUCUCUCUCUCUCUCUCUCUUUCUCUUUCUCUCUAUCCAAAUAUCAUGUAACACAUGUGAAGGAUAAAACUUAUGUAUCUAUUAAGAAAGGUAUAUGUAAUGUACCUAUUUAUCUAUUUACUUACUUAAUUUUAAUUGAUUAUUUACUUUCUCGUUGGAUGACGAAUUUUUAUUAUAUUUUAUCGCAAAUAUUUAAUCAUUCAGAAAUUUUUCUUAAGGCCCAUAGAGAACAAUUUGAAUUUUAUCCGAGUAAAUCUUUUCAAAGGGAUUUAAUUUCGUAGAGGAUUGAACGAUAUUAUUUUGUGAAAUAUCUAUAAAGAGAGAGAGGAAGAGAGAGAGAGAGAGAGAGAGAGAGAGACCAUCAUCAUUGCCACUACCAUUAUAUGAACAUAAAACGUAAAGAAAAUAUGGAAAUUAUCGUUGGAAAAAGAAAAAGAUGUCAAAAGUUAUGAUUCGUGAAUUUAAAGAAAAAAGAAAAAACAAAAAAAAACAAAAA